CGUAUCAAUUUUCUUUUUUUAUUGGUUGCAGGUUCGACCCAAGGAAUUCUGUGUUGGAGUGGUCCAUUCUACUUAUUGACAACUCGAACCGAAGUGGAUCAAUGGAGUUUGUUGUUCCCCCAACAGACUCAUCUGUAUUUUUCCCGAUU